GUGCAAACUGUCGCAGUGCUAUUUGGUGAAUGUAGUGUGGUAGGCUUGCCUAUAUCUUUUUUCUUCUUUAAAGUCAGCUCGAAAACUAGUGUUAUAACAACGCUGAAUUCUUAAGUAUUCAAGCUGGUAGCAUUGUAAAACUGGCUACAAAAAACGAGGGGUUGAUAGAUGUGAUACUUUACCAAUUAAGAUUACUUUUGACAUUGCAUCAAGAAAAGGCUUGACGUGUGGGUCUAGUGAACACAUUCUGAAAAACAGAGUACAUAUUACCAGGCUGCAAAUUACGUGGCCCCAGUUGACCAGCAAAGAUCUGGAACCGCAUCAAAGUAAAAGAGUUCAUCAUCAGUAAAAGUAAAGACAGUCUCUACCGUAUCCUGCAUCCUUGAAGGCGAGGCAUUGUGUGGCAAGCAAAAACAAAUUUGACGUUAUAAUUUUUAAGGAAGGCAGAUUUAACAUGAGUUUUGUGGCUUUCCUUCUCAUUGUAAUCUUUAUUGUAGGCCUUACCGUUCUGAAGUGGCCUCAACUUUUGCAGUGGGCCAUGACAAGAACAUGGCCCGAAAUGAUUGUAUAUUCUUGUCUUUGUUUUGUUAUUUGGAAUGUUUUUAUAAUUUAUAUGUAUAGAUACUUUUUUUGAAAAUUAUCGUAGACCAAGCUUUUUUUUAUCAAUAACUUCAUUACACUAUUAUUAUUAAUAUUAAUAUGAUUAUAAUAAUGAAAUUACAAUGAUAAUUAUAGAAUAUUUUACAUUUUCUCACAAUUUGAUUCAUUGUAGUUAGGAUUAUGUACUUGAAUUGUUUUGGAAGAGGGCCUGUCAGCAUUGCAGUUAGAGCCAUCCUCUCAAUUAUUAUUGAAUAAUAUUACUUAUUUCUUAUUAUAAUUCCAUCAUUCUUGGGUUAAUUAGUUAUUGUCUAGUAUGUUGGGGCUGAAAUAUUUAAAAAGGUGAUAGGGACAAACUACAAAGGUUUGUCAAUAGGUGUGAGAAAGGAGGUAUUUGAGAGGAUUAUCUGUUCGGGUCUGCAGACAGUGCACUCAGUCUAGCGACUAGUUAAAAAGUCCGAUGAAUAAAUUGCUGACGAAAGUCAUCCGUUACAUUCGGCUAUUGCUGGUUGCUUUAUACAACGCAACGCAGUGCUAUCGGCUACAAACACGAAUAGAUAUUAUAACUCUUUCAUUCCGGGAGGAAUUUGCCUUCUUAAGAAUAGACAUUUUAGAUAGAUUUUUUUGAUGAAAUUUUCUUUCUUCGAGAGUGCAAGAGAGUACUAUAAUAUCCAAAUGUUGGAUGAAUAAAGAGAUGUAUGACUAUUAUAUAUAACCAAACAAUUAGGGAAAAUAAUCUAUAACUAGCAGUGUCAUUAUCGGGGUCAUUGUGCCUCUCAAUGAAUAAUGUUGCUAAUUAAACUGUCAGUACAUAAUUUCCAUUUAAAACUGAUAAUCUAUAACACCAAAAUAUCUGUUAAUCAGAGGCGGGUGUGGAGGGGGUCGGGCCGACCUCCACGACCCCCCCCCCCCUCCUUUUUUGGAAAGUAAAUUGGAAAAAGAAAAAAGAAAGAAAGAAAAAGAAAUAGUUGAUUGCCUAAAACGCCUCAGAUUUUCGGACGUUUUAAAAAUAAAAAAAUUAUCGAGGGCAUGUACUAGUACCCUUUUUCGGAUCCGUCCUCUUUUUUAAUUACAUGUCAUAUGUAAUUAGUUGCAUCGACAGUUAUUUAAACACUGAAUCAUUAGGUUUAUAUCUUUGGAUUUCACUUCAUAUACUAUUAGAGUGGAUGUUUGUGUGUAGGCCUACGUCUCGUGAAAGCAAGAACAACAUUCCUGUUACAAACUUCCAGUCGUAUCGUGUGACGAAUAAAAAGAUGGAAAUGUAUUUUACAGUGCAACCUAAUAAUUGCCUCUAUUUUGGCAAUUGAUGGCAUCAUGGAAGAAUAAAAUUUCAUUUAAAAAA